AUUGAACGCUAGCGGGAUGCUUUACACAUGCAAGUCGAACGAGUGGCGGACGGGUGAGUAAUAUAUCGGAACGUGCCCAGUAGCGGGGGAUAACUACUAGAAAGAGUGGCUAAUACCGAAUACUAUUGUAGCGGCCGGUAUCGGGUUAGCUAGUUGGUGGGGUAAAGGCGCCGCAAGGCAACGCUCCGUCUCUGGUUUGAGAGGACGAUCAGCCACACUGGGACUGAGCCACGGCCCAGACUCCUACGGUAGGCAGCAGUGGGGAAUUUGGGACAGUGGGUGAAACCCUGAUCCAGCCAUCCCGCGUGUAUGAGAAGGCCUUCGGGUUGUAAAGUACGUUUGGGAGAGAAGCGGUAUCUGCAGAAUAAGCACCGGCUAACUACGUGCCAGCAGCCGCGGUAAUUC
rnacentral:rRNA from 1 species